rnacentral:rRNA from 1 species
GUUGGGCCUGCUCGGUGAGAAGAAAAAUUUAACAGCUGCGGUAUUAUAACUGUACUAAGGUAGCAUAAUAAUUUGCCUUAUAAAUUAAGGCUAGAAUGAAUGGUUUGACGAAAAUUAGACUGUCUUUAUUUUAUUUGUUAGAAAUUAAUUUUUAUAGUGAAAAAGCUUGAAUAAUUUAAGGGGACGAGAAGCCCCUAUUGAGCUUUAUUUAUUAAUAUUUAAAUAUAAAUAUAUAAUUUAUAUUAUGAAAAUUAUGUUGUAUAUAUAUAUAUAUUUAAUUGGAUUUAAUUUUGAUUGGGGUGAUCAAGGAAUAAAGAUAAAGUAACUUCCUUAAAAUUAAUGAUUGUUUUUAUAGAGUAAUAAACCAAGUUUUUUGCUUAUAAGAUAAGUUACCAUAGGGGUAACAGCGUAAUUUUUUUUGAGAGUUCAUAUUGAAAAAAGAGAUUGCGACCUCGAUGUUGGAUUAAAAAUUACCUUAAGG